rnacentral:rRNA from 1 species
GACGAACGCUGGCGGCGUGCUUAACACAUGCAAGUCGAACGCUGAAGCUUGGUUCUUGCACUGGGUGGAUGAGUGGCGAACGGGUGAGUAAUACGUGAGUAACCUGCCCUUGACUCUGGGAUAAGCCUGGGACACUGGGUCUAAUACUGGAUACGACAUGUCACCGCAUGGUGGUGUGUGGAAAUGGUUUUACUGGUUUUGGAUGGGCUCACGGCCUAUCAGCUUGUUGGUUGGGUAAUGGCUCACCAAGGCGACGACGGGUAGCCGGCCUGAGAGGGUGACCGGCCACACUGGGACUGAGACACGGCCCAGACUCCUACGGGAGGCAGCAGUGGGGAAUAUUGCACAAUGGGCGGAAGCCUGAUGCAGCGACGCCGCGUGAGGGAUGACGGCCUUCGGGUUGUAAACCGCUUUCAGCACGGAAGAAGCGAAGGUGACGGUAAGUGCAGAAGAAGCGCCGGCUAACUACGUG